CCUACGGGUGGCAGCAGUGAGGAAUAUUGGUCAAUGGACGAGAGUCUGAACCAGCCAAGUAGCGUGAAGGAUGACUGCCCUAUGGGUUGUAAACUUCUUUUAUAUGGGAAUAAAACGUUCCACGUGUGGGAUUUUGUAUGUACCAUAUGAAUAAGGAUCGGCUAACUCCGUGCCAGCAGCCGCGGUAAUACGGAGGAUCCGAGCGUUAUCCGGAUUUAUUGGGUUUAGAGGGAGCGGAGGUGGAUUGUUAAGUCAGUUGUGAAAGUUUGGGGCUCAACCGGAAGAUUGCAGUUGAAACUGGCAGUCUUGAGUACAGUAGAGGUGGGCGGAAUUCGUGGUGUAGCGGUGAAAUGCUUAGAUAUCACGAAGAACUCCGAUUGCGAAGGCAGUUCACUGGACUGCAACUGACACUGAGGCUCGAAAGUGUGGGUAUCAAACAGGAUUAGAUACCCUAGUAGUC
rnacentral:rRNA from 1 species